UAACACGUAAACAACCUGCCUUCAGGAUGGGGACAACAGACGGAAACGACUGCUAAUACCGAAUAAGUUCCAAGAGCCGCAUGGCCCAUGGAAGAAAAGGUGGCCUCUACCUGUAAGCUAUCGCCUGAAGAGGGGUUUGCGUCUGAUUAGCUGGUUGGAGGGGUAACGGCCCACCAAGGCGACGAUCAGUAGCCGGUCUGAGAGGAUGAACGGCCACACUGGAACUGAGACACGGUCCAGACUCCUACGGGAGCAGCAUG
rnacentral:rRNA from 1 species